rnacentral:rRNA from 1 species
GAGUUUGAUCGUGGCUCAGAUUGAACGCUAGCGGGAUGCCUUACACAUGCAAGUCGAACGGCAGCACGGACUUCGGUCUGGUGGCGAGUGGCGAACGGGUGAGUAAUGUAUCGGAACGUGCCUAGUAGCGGGGGGAUAACUACGCGAAAGCGUAGCUAAUACCGCAUACGCCCUACGGGGAAAGUCAGGGGAUCGCAAGACCUUGCACUAUUAGAGCGGCCGAUAUCGGAUUAGCUAGUUGGUGGGGUAACGGCUCACCAAGGCGACGAUCCGUAGCUGGUUUGAGAGGACGACCAGCCACACUGGGACUGAGACACGGCCCAGACUCCUACGGGAGGCAGCAGUGGGGAAUUUUGGACGAAUGGGGAAACCCUGAUCCAGCCAUCCCGCGUGUGCGAUGAAGGCC